GGGUGCACCGCCGACCGACCCCGAUCUUCUGUGAAGGGUUCGAGUGCGAGCAUACCUGUUGGGACCCGAAAGAUGGUGAACUAUGCCUGAGCAGGGUGAAGCCAGAGGAAACUCUGGUGGAGGCCCGUAGCGAUACUGACGUGCAAAUCGUUCGUCUGACUUGGGUGUAGGGGCGAAAGACUAAUCGAACCGUCUAGUAGCUUAGGAAAUUCGGAGAAGUCGGCGGGGGCCCCGGGAAGAGUUAUCUUUUCUUUUUAACAGCCUGCCCACCCUGAAAUCGGUUCAUCCGGAGAUAGGGUCCAGCGGCUGGAAGAGCAUCGCACGUCUGCGGUGUCCGGUGCCCCCGGCGGCCCUUGAAAAUCCGGAGGACGGAAAAGGAUUGGCUUUGAGGGCUGGGCCUAGGGGUCUNGUGCCUCGAGCUCGUGGGCUGUCGGUGGUCUGCCCGAGCUGCUUUGCGUGUCGAUCGGGUGACGGUGCGGGGGCUUUUCCCUAGGCGGCGAACAGUCGACUCAGAACUGGUGCGGACAAGGGGAAUCCGACUGUUUAAUUAAAACAAAGCAUUGCGAUGGU
rnacentral:rRNA from 1 species